UACGUAGGGUCCGAGCGUUGUCCGGAAUUACUGGGCGUAAAGAGCUCGUAGGUGGUUUGUCGCGUUGUUCGUGAAAACUCACAGCUCAACUGUGGGCGUGCGGGCGAUACGGGCAGACUAGAGUACUGCAGGGGAGACUGGAAUUCCUGGUGUAGCGGUGGAAUGCGCAGAUAUCAGGAGGAACACCGGUGGCGAAGGCGGGUCUCUGGGCCUGUACUGACGCUGAGGAGCGAAAGCGUGGGGGAGCGAACAGG
rnacentral:rRNA from 1 species